rnacentral:rRNA from 1 species
ACGUAGGGACCAAGCGUUGUUCGGAUUUACUGGGCGUAAAGGGCGCGUAGGCGGCUUGACAAGUCACUUGUGAAAUCUCUGGGCUUAACCCAGAACGGCCAAGUGAUACUGUCGAGCUAGAGUGCAGAAGGGGCAAUCGGAAUUCUUGGUGUAGCGGUGAAAUGCGUAGAUAUCAAGAGGAACACCUGAGGUGAAGACGGGUUGUUGGGCUGACACUGACGCUGAGGCGCGAAAGCGUGGGGAGCAAACAGGA